AUGAAGAGCCCAUCGAGAAAUCAGAGUUGGUUGGAGAAGAGGUGACCAAUGAACUCAUGGAUGUAGAUCCCCUCGUCAAGUCGGAGACGGAUGAUGUUAUGAGUGACGGCGACUUAGCGGCGGGUACUAAAAGGAGGGCUCAAACCAGAAAACCGAAGACAGAACGGAAGAAGCAAAAAACAAGUCGAAUUGAAACAG